UACGUAGGGCGCAAGCGUUAUCCGGAAUUAUUGGGCGUAAAGAGCUCGUAGGCGGUUUGUCGCGUCCGCCGUGAAAGUCCAGGGCUCAACCCUGGAAUGCCGGUGGAAACUGCCGGGCUGGAGUCCGGAAGAGGCGAGUGGAAUUCCUGGUGUAGCGGUGAAAUGCGCAGAUAUCAGGAGGAACACCGAUUGCGAAGGCAGCUCGCUGGGACGUUACUGACGCUGAGACGCGAAAGCGUGGGGAGCAAACAGG
rnacentral:rRNA from 1 species